rnacentral:rRNA from 1 species
AGUGAACGCUGGCGGUAGGCCUAACACAUGCAAGUCGAACGGCAGCACAGUAAGAGCUUGCUCUUACGGGUGGCGAGUGGCAGACGGGUGAGGAAUACAUCUGAAUCUACUUUUUCGUGGGGGAUAACGUAGGGAAACUUACGCUAAUACCGCAUACGACCUACGGGUGAAAGCAGGGGAUCUUCGGACCUUGCGCGAUUGAAUGAGCCGAUGUCGGAUUAGCUAGUUGGCGGGGUAAAGGCCCACCAAGGCGACGAUCCGUAGCUGGUCUGAGAGGAUGAUACGCCACACUGGAACUGAGACACGGUCCAGACUCCUACGGGAGGCAGCAGUGGGGAAUAUUGGACAAUGGGCGCAAGCCUGAUCCAGCCAUACCGCGUGGGUGAAGAAGGCCUUCGGGUUGUAAAGCCCUUUUGUUGGGAAAGAAAAGCAGCAGGUUAAUACCCCGCUGUUCUGACGGUACCCAAAGAAUAAGCACCGGCUAACUUCGUG